UGCUGGUUCAUCAACACCAUUGCCUCUUCCUGCACAGACAAAAAAACUUCAUUACCCAGCCUUCCGUGUGGUUGUGUUGAGACCCGGUGCCUGAGCUUCACCAAUGGGAAUGCGUGGGAGUGUUAUAGGCGCCUAAGAGUAGAUCUGAGCUGUUCUUAGACCCAGAAUUUCUUGCCUGAAGGAGGAGUCAGGUCCCCACAAGGAAAGACCCUGCAACUGUAUAAAAAAAGAAUCUAAAAAGAUCAUGACUCCUCCAGUCCUUUCCCAAAGAGACCUAUGGAAAUUUCCUCAGAGGAUCAUAACUGACACAGGAAGAGGAAGUCUGAUACGUGGACAGUCGAGUUGAUAGUGCAUGGG